CCAAUUGAACGCCAAGAUAGUUUUCCCCAAAUUUCGACAAUCUAAUUUCACCCAAAAAGAGUAUGGAAAAACCCUAAAAAUUGGGGAUUUUUGGGCUGAUUCCUUAAGAUAGAAAAAGGCUGAAAACACAAUAAGAACAGAAAAUAGAUUAGAUAAUGAUUCAGCACAAGUAGAAAUAAAGAAAGAAUUGACAGUAAGAAAUUAAAAGAUAAGUCCUAAGAAGCCUUGAAAUCUCGAAAGAUCUCACAACUCCCUUCAAACGGCUCUAAUCUCCCCUCCAAAGAAUAUCAAUGGCAAGAAGAAGGUUGAAG
rnacentral:lncRNA from 1 species